rnacentral:tRNA from 4 species
CUCUCCGUAGCUCAGUUGGUAGAGCAGUUGACUCUUAAUCAACGGGUCAUAGGUUCGAGCCCUAUCGGGGAGA